GUUUUUACUAACCCCCCAAAUAUCCAUAUUAAUUUACAGCCACAUUUAGACUUCCUAUAACUAAAGUAAAUUAUAAAUCCAUAGUUUUACUUUAAUAAACACAGCAACACAUGUCUUCACUUCCCCCUACCGAUUCCUUCAGUUGGUAUUUCCCAGACCUAUAAAGCGGUGGUCACGGACCUUGGGAACUAUUUUGGCAGAUAUCCAUGGAGAGAGAAGACCUGUUCCAGAGAUCCAUGGGAGGAAGACACCUGAACCAGAUAAGUAGUUGCAAUACACACACACCACACACACUAUGUCUGCAGCCACAUGGGGAAAAAACUUGCAUUUUCUAAUUCUUGGCAUUACCGUUGGAGUACCCAUGGGCUCAGACAUACACUCUCCAACCAUACAUCCAUACACAAGUUCCUUUACCCCACCACUCACACACCAUCUAUAUUCUAUGUCCCUGGAUCACAGACGGUGUGCAGCUGUUGGUCUGGAACUCGCCGAUGGACGUCGAGCUGACUCAACGUGGCGGUGAGAGGACGGAGGAGUGCGUCGAGACUCCGCGGGACAAAGGUGCAGACCAAGGAGGUCAUCCAGUUUGAUCCUGCUGCCACCACCUCAUGAGACCAGGAAAGCUAUCUGCCAGUGAAGUUCAUCAAGAUGGGGACCAGCAUCCUGAUGGAAUUGCAGACAGCCAUACCUGCUUCACUGUCAAAUAUGCAUAUUUUUGAAAUGUUUCAUUUGUAUGUAAUAAAAUUCAUUGUUCCAUUUGAA